UUUGUUUUGCAUCCAUAAAAUACUGUUUUAUGCACUGUGAAUUCACAAACAGCAAAUAACCUGCCUAAAGCAGGCAUUAUUGCUUACCUUUACAAUAUAUAUAAAAUUGCUUAAAUUAACAGAACACAACCUUUACCAGCUAUGUAGCAUUUUACUGAGUAAUUACAACUUCAUUUUACAGGAUGUACCGAUUUCAAGCAUAAUUACAAAAUAAAGAACAUAUGCAGGGAAAUAUUUAAAUGUCUACACCUCACAAAUAAAAAUGACUUCCUCAUACUAAUAUGAAGUAACCAAGACACAGAAUGAAAAAGCCAACACACCAAAAUGCAUGGGGGACUGUGGGGUGGCAGGGUGACAUUUGAUUAAAAGGUUAUGUGGAAAAACAUGUUUCAACUUGGAGGCUGCCCUUUGAAAGUUCUACCACCAGUGACAAUCCUGUUGACUUCCAAAUUUUGUACAAUUUUGGCAAUUGCCAAAACACUUUCCAAAUGCUUUAGGCAUUUUUCAAACCCUUCUUCUCACAUAGUUUUUCAGCACCUUUAAUUGGAAGAGAAAGUUACAAAAAAACCUUUAUAUUACAACAUUUACACAACAUUGCAAUUUUUUUUUGUCCUGUCUUCAGAUUCGAAGCAGCUGAUCGAUCACAACCUGGAGAAUUUUAAAUACAGUCUAAAUUUAGGUUACAAAAAUCAAAUGUAUCCGAGAGUGUGGAGCUAUAUUCCACUAUUUUAACAGAUACCUCUCCCCGUAACAGCGCUAUAAAUGCUGACAACACAAAAAUUUGACCACGCUUACUGUUAGUGUAAUACUUAAAAAAACCAACCAAGACCUUUUAUUUUAAAUGGUGGCUUUGAUUUACAGAGAAAAAGGAAAUUGCCCUCAAAAGUCUCGUGUAAUAUAGGCUGGAACGACAAUUUUCUGCCUACCUACUAUAAUCUGUUAUCAUAUCUUCUGUGUUAUUUAAAAAGUGUGCAUCCUCUUCACAUUACAUUCUGAAUGUCAUCUUUAACUCCCUUUCAGAAUGUGAUGCUUUAACUAGAAAUCUUGCUUAUGCACAGACAUUUAAGCAACUUGAAAAAUACGGACCAACAUAUUUACCAAUGCAAGAAUUCCACAGACCUUAAAAUACCACACCUUUUUUUUUUGCCCCGUAACACCUUCAGUAUGGUGCUCCAAUCAUUUUCUGGCUGAAAGAAUCAAUUCAUUUUCUCUUUAAUUCACUCUUCCUCCUGUUUCCAUAAUUGAAAUUACUCACCCUCCUCUCACCAAAUACAUACCUCACCGAAGCUCCAGACUCAGAUUACACUAUCACCUUGAGCAAUAAGACUAAGUUUUCAGAGGGCAAAUGGGCUUAUACCUGCAAGACUAAAUACUGUAUGAGGAAACAGUUAAACAGAGACACUGAUUUCCAUUGCAGGGUGGAGAAAAAAAAA
rnacentral:lncRNA from 1 species